AACGAACGUUGGCGGCGCGCCUAACACAUGCAAGUCGAACGGGAAAAGCCUUCGGGCUGAGUACAGUGGCGCACGGGUGAGUAACACGUGAAUCAUCUACCUUCGGGCCCGGGAUAACAUUCCGAAAGGAGUGCUAAUACCGGAUAAGACCACUAAGUGAGAAAAGAUGGGGACUGGAAACAGCCUGUCACCUGAAGAUGAGUUCGCGGCCUAUCAGCUAGUUGGUAAGGUAAUGGCUUACCAAGGCUAUGACGGGUAGCUGGUCUGAGAGGAUGAUCAGCCACACUGGAACUGAGACACGGUCCAG
rnacentral:rRNA from 1 species